rnacentral:lncRNA from 1 species
AACAUUCAUCCCACGCUGAGCUAUAAAAGGCCUUGGGGACAUCGACUUUUGCAUCUCCUUCAAGCAUUUCAACAACUUUGUUCAUGGCAGGAUUAUCAGCUGGCUUCAUCUGUAUGCACCAUAUAACCAUAAUCAUAAUUUUCUUAACCAUCCUCUAAUUUUCCUCACUUGUAUUAUGCAUAUCUAUAUCAUUUCCUUCAUUAAAUUGCUCAUAAACCCAUGUAGGAAAGUACAUUUUGCUCAAGUGAUCCGUGAAUGGGUUCAAGUUCUUCCUUCUGCCAGCCAUUUCCAUCAACAGCAUGUCAUAACUAUAUACAAUGGAUUUGUAUGACACUCCUCUAAAAUUUUUAUAAAACAACUCUGGAGCUG